rnacentral:rRNA from 1 species
CAGUAAGGAAUCUUCCACAAUGGGCGAAAGCCUGAUGGAGCAACGCCGCGUGCAGGAUGAAGGCCCUCGGGUCGUAAACUGCUUUUAUGAGUGAAGAAUAUGACGGUAACUCAUGAAUAAGCACCGGCUAACUACGUGCCAGCAGCCGCGGUCAUACGUAGGGUGCAAGCAUUAUCCGGAGUGACUGGGCGUAAAGAGUUGCGUAGGUGGUUAGUAAAGUGAAUAGUGAAACCUGGUGGCUCAACCAUACAGACUAUUAUUCAAACUCACUAACUCGAGAGUGGUAGAGGUAACUGGAAUUUCUAGUGUAGGAGUGAAAUCCGUAGAUAUUAGAAGGAACACCAAUGGCGUAGGCAGGUUACUGGACCAUUUCUGACACUGAGGCACGAAAGCGUGGGGAGCGAACCGGAUUAGA